UCUCACAUCCACACUCCACACUCCACACACACAUGGCAACGCCACACGCGGCUCCUUGGCGCGACACACACUAGCCGAGGUGUCAAGGUGAAAGGCUGGCGGCGAGGCGUGGCUUGGCGCUGCGGUCGGAAGACAGGGGAGGGCGGCGAGAGGGCUCCGGCAGGCCUCCGGCAGGCAAAUGCAGGGAAUGUCACACUAAAUAAGGUGACAAUGUAACGAUCACUUUGUUCUGCGUUACUUGUCCUUUUCAAAUCUCCCGCUCUCUACCUGGCUAGCUAAUUUCCCAUAUUACUCUUGUUGAGUCCAUCUAACUUUCUCAUAGCCAGCCGCCUCCCGUUGGAUAUUUAGUUGGUCGUUCUGCUUGGUUCUGGAUCAGUCGGGAUGUAGUUCUUGUGAGAUUAUCCCCAGUGCGGGCUUCGGCCGCCUGGUUGGGUUAGUAUUUAACCCUACACCCGCUGUUCUCUGACCCGAGUGUUCUUCUUAUUGUUAUACCAACUUGUCGUCUUUACGCUUUAUCCUCGGGUCUUUUAAUUCAGACUUCGGUCUUGGCCUCCACUAAGGCUAUACACUUCUGCCUGAAGUUAGUUUUUAAGUUAUUAAUUUUAAGCGUUCUGAAGAUUUGCGUGUAGCAAAACAUAUCUGUGAUUUUAGGUCCUGAUUCGGACUACUUUGAGUUGAGAUUUGAGUUGAGCCUUGAGAGUAGAGUUCUUAUUUGAGCUAAAUGUGAUUUGUUUGGGUUUUUACCCUCUACUUAAGUGCCUAGUUUAAGAGAAUGUCAGUUGAGUUUACGUUUGGAUAUGGAUUGAUAUAGCGCUGUUUAUUCUAAUGAGAUUUGCAUUGAUAUCUGAUUAUUGGAUUCACCGUUUGAGCUUCUGUCUGUCUUUUGAUUGGUUCUUUGAACGUGUUUGACUUAUUAAAGUUUGCUUAUUUUUAAUUGUU